rnacentral:rRNA from 1 species
UGGGGAAUAUUGGACAAUGGGCGAAAGCCUGAUCCAGCCAUGCCGCGUGUGUGAAGAAGGUCUUCGGAUUGUAAAGCACUUUAAGCGAGGAGGAGGCUACUAGUACUAAUACUACUGGAUAGUGGACGUUACUCGCAGAAUAAGCACCGGCUAACUCUGUGCCAGCAGCCGCGGUAAUACAGAGGGUGCGAGCGUUAAUCGGAUUUACUGGGCGUAAAGCGUGCGUAGGCGGCUGAUUAAGUCGGAUGUGAAAUCCCUGAGCUUAACUUAGGAAUUGCAUUCGAUACUGGUCAGCUAGAGUAUGGGAGAGGAUGGUAGAAUUCCAGGUGUAGCGGUGAAAUGCGUAGAGAUCUGGAGGAAUACCGAUGGCGAAGGCAGCCAUCUGGCCUAAUACUGACGCUGAGGUACGAAAGCAUGGGGAGCAAACAGG